rnacentral:rRNA from 1 species
GACGAACGCUGGCGGCGUGCUUAACACAUGCAAGUCGAACGCUGAAGCCCUUCGGGGUGGAUGAGUGGCGAACGGGUGAGUAACACGUGGGUAAUCUGCCCUGCACUCUGGGAUAAGCCUUGGAAACGGGGUCUAAUACCGGAUAGGACACAUCGCCGCAUGGUGUGUGUGUGGAAAGUUCCGGCGGUGCAGGUUGAGCCCGCGGCCUAUCAGCUUGUUGGUGGGGUGAUGGCCUACCAAGGCGACGACGGGUAGCCGGCCUGAGAGGGUGACCGGCCACACUGGGACUGAGACACGGCCCAGACUCCUACGGGAGGCAGCAGUGGGGAAUCUUGCGCAAUGGGCGAAAGCCUGACGCAGCAACGCCGCGUGGGAGAUGACGGCCUUCGGGUUGUAAACCUCUUUCGACCGGGACGAAGGAUUCGCUUGACGGUACCGGUAGAAGAGGCACCGGCUAACUACGUGCCAGCAGCCGCCGCCGUAA